rnacentral:lncRNA from 1 species
AUCCCGACUAAGUGGCCGUCCUGGGAGUUAUAGUGCCACUAGCCGGCCUCGGCUGUUCCCUGUCCGAGGCUCUUGUCAUUUCCGCUUAUUUCCUCCACGGGUGCCGAUUUCAUGUGUGUGUUCCCGAGUGCCUGAGCCGGCUCCCGAAAUGAGUACUCGUGGUUUCCGCGUGGGAACCAACCUCGAGCGCCAGUGGCCCGCCCUCUCCGGGCUGAGGUGGCUGCUGAGGCUGGGGCUGCUCCUGAGGCUUCAGGGCCGCCCGCUGCACGGCUUUCUACCUUCCCAGGUUAGCCGCGGUCAACUUCUGCCAGGCGGAGCGAGAAAUCGCAUUUUGUCAGUUUUAACAAAACAGAAAUGUGUAAAAAUUUGUGUAAAAUCUUACGAUCGAGACCAAAUGGACAAGCUGGCUUUUUUUGAAGAAAGUAAUACGACUGAAUUACUAGCAUCAUUGGUAGGUUUGGCAUCUGAAAUAACAUGACUUGGCUGGGUGAGGUGGCGUGCCACCUCAGCACUUUGGGAGGCCAAGGUGGACAGAUUGCUUGAGCUCAGGAGUUUGAUACCAGCCUGGCCAGCGUGGCGAAAACCCAUCUCUACUAAAAAUACAAAAAUUAGCCGAGCAUGAUGGCAGGCACCUGUAAUCCCAGCUACUUGGGAAGCUGAGGCACAUGAGAAUUGCUUGAACCUGGGAGGCGGAGGUUGCAGUGAGCCGAGAUUGCACCACUGCACUCCAGCCUGGGUGAAAGAGUGAGACGCUGUCUCAGAAAAAAAAAAAAAAAUUAACAUGACUCAAUUAAUUUUUCAAUUCCUUUCAGAAGUUUUUUGUUUGUUUGUUUUGAGACAGGGUAUUGUUCUGUGGCCCAGGCUGGAGCAAAGUGAUGUAAUCAUAGCUCACUGCAUCCUCAAACUCCUGGGCUCAAUUGAUCCUCUUAGCCUCCUGAGUAGCUAGGACUACAGGCAUGUGCCACCAUGCCUGGUUAAGUUUUGAUUUUCUUUUUUGUCUUUUUUUUUUUUUUUUCUUGAGACAGAGUCUAGCUCUGUUGCUCAGGCUGGAGUGCAGUGGCGUGAUCUAGCACACUCGAAAUCUCCACCACCCAGGUUCAAACAAUUCUCCUGCCUCAGCCUCCUGAGUAGCUGGGAUUACAGGCACCCGCCACCACGCCCAGCUAAUUUUUGUAUUUUUAGUAGAGACGGGGUUUCACUGUGUUGCCCAGGCUGGUCUUGAACUCCUGACCUCGUAAUCCGCCCGCCUCAGCCUUCCAAAGUGCUGGGAUUACAAGUGUUAGCCACCGUGCCCAGCCUUUGUUUUUUCUUUUUUGCUGUCACCUUAUUUUUUUUUUAUUAUUUUUAUUUUCUUUUUGUAGAGACAGGGUCUAGCUAUGUUGCCCAGGCUGGUCUUGAACUCCUGGCCUCAAGCAGUGCUUCCACCUUGGACUCCCAAAGUGAGUCACCACACCCUGCCAAAAAAGUAUUCUUUAUUUUUUAUAUUUUAUUUUAUUAUUAUUUUUUGGAUAUAGGGUUUCUCUCUGUCACCCAGGCUAGCGUAAAGUGGCACCAUCUUGGCUCACUGCAACCACCACCUCCCGGGUUCAAGUGAUUCUCGUGCCUCAGCCUUCUGAGUAGCUGGGAUUAUAGGUGUCUGCCACUACACCCGGCUAAUUUUUGUAUUUUUUUUUUUAGUACAGAUGGAGUUUUACCAUGUUGGCCAGGCUGGUCUUGAACUCCUGGUCUCAAGUGAUCCACCCGCCUCGGCCUCCCAAAGUGCUGGGAUUACAGGCGUGAGCCACUGCACCUGGCAGUGUUUCUUAUAUUUCAGUCAUUUCACAUACCACCUUGGUAAUUUUUGCUAUAUGUCAAGCACCUGUAUUAUUAUUUAUCUACUUUAAAAAAAUCCGUUAUUUAAGGCCAGGUGCAGCGGCUCAUGCCUGUAAUCCCAGCACUUUGGGAGGCUGAGGCGGGUGGAUCACUUGAGGCCAAGAAUUUGAGACCAGCCUGGCCAGCAUGGCAAAACUCUGUCUCUACUAAAAAUACAAAAAAAUGAGCCAGGCAUGGUGGCACUCACCUGUAGUCCCAGCUACUUGGGAGGCUGAGGCAGGAGAAUUGCUUGAACCUGGGAGGCAGAGGUUGCAGUGAGCCCAGAUUGCACCACUGCACCCCAGCCUGGUCAACAGAGGGAGACCCUUACUCAAAAAAAAAAAAAAAUCCAUGCUGUAUUUAGAAAGGAAACUAUAAUACCCUAAUUAUAGAUUUACUCUACUACUUAUCUUUUUUAUUCAUCUAAUUUCAAGUAAAUAUGUAAAAGGUAAAAUUGUUUUUCCAUCUACUACCUAAAAUCAUCUUGUAUAUCUUCAGUGCUAUGUAUUUUUCACAAUGGGAAGCAGUGAGAUAAAGAAGUAAAGAAAAUGGGAAGAGAAGCAACAAACAACUGCUUAAUUGAUAGUUCUUUGAAAGCAAGGGUAAACUGGCAGAAGAAAGGAGUUAAUGAACAGGAGAAAUGUUCAUUAAUAUGGUCUGUGUUUGAGACCAUAUAUGAAAGUGGGUUCUUAGGGAACAUUUAACGACGACAUCUUUCAAGAUCAAGUCUGGGAAGAAGAAAGGGACCAAUAGGAUGAAAAACCCCCAGUUGGCAGGAGUAGCAAUAACUUUACCAACAUUUGUAGGUUGUCAACAUAAAAUUACCAAGGUUAAGUAAAAGCUUAAAUAAGGCCGGGUGCAGUGGCUCACGCCUGUAAUCACAACUUUGGGAGGCCAGGGCAGGUGGAUCACAAGGUCAGGAGUUCGAGAUCAUCCUGGCUAACAUGGUGAAAUCCUGUUUCUACUAAAAUACAAAAAAAAAAAAAAAAAAAAAAAAAUUAGCCGGGCGUGGUGGUGCAUGCCUGUAGUACCAGCUACUCGGGAGGCUGAGGCACGGGAAUCACUUGAACCCAGGAGGUGGAGGUUGCAGUAAGCCCAGACUGCGCCACUGCAGUCCAGGCGUGGCGACAGAGUGAGACUCUGUCUAAAAAAAAACAACAACAAAGCUUAAAUAAAACCAGCAGCUACUUUUUGCUAUUUCUUUUAUAUAGUGAUACUCUUUCUUGUGAAUUUCCUCUUCCUCCUCUCCUUCUCCUCCUCCUCCUCCCCCUCCUCCUUCUUCUUAUUCUUCCUCUUCCUCCUCUUCCUCUUCCUCCUCUUCCUCUUCUUCCUCUUCCUCCUCUUCCUCUUCUUCCUCUUCCCCUUCCUCUUCUCCUUCUCCUCCUCCUCCUUCUCCUCUUCCUCCUUCUUAUUCUUCCUCUUCCUCUUCUUCCUCUUCCUCCUCUUCCUCCUCUACCUCCUCUACCUCUUCUUCCUCUUCCCCCUCCUCUUCUCCUUCUCCUCCUCCUCCUUCUUCUUCUUUCUCACUUUGUCACCCAGGCUGAGUGCAGUGGCAUGAUCACGGCUCACUGCAACCUCGACCUCCAGGGCUCAAGCCAUCCUCCUUCCUCAGCCUCCUGAGUAGCUGGGACUACAGGCGUGUGCCACCACGUCAGGCUAAUCUUUGUAGUUUUUGUAGAGAUAGGGUUUUGCCAUGUUGCCCAGGUUGGUCUCGAACUCCUGGACUCAAGUGAUCUGCCCGCCUCAGCCUCCCAAAGUGCUGGGAUUACAGGUGUGCACCACUGCUCCCAGCCUAUUUUUAUUUUAAAGAUAUUUAUUUUAGAUAGAUACUGAUGUCCUCCUCCCUUCACCCUGACACAUAGGCUCCUUUUCGUUGAAAAAUGAAAGUUUCAGGCAAGUUUCAGAAAAGUUUAUAGGCUGGGCAUGGUGGCUCAUGCCAGCACUUUGUGAGGCCAAGGUGGGCGGAUCGCCUGAGGUCAGGGGUUCAAGACCAGCCUGGCCAACAUGGCGAAACCGAUCUCUACUAAAAAUACAAAAAAAUUAGCCAGGCGUAGUGUUGGGCGCCUGUAAUCCCAGCUAUUCGGGAGGUUGAGGCAGGAGAAUCACUUGAAUCUGGGAGGUGGAAGUUGCAGUGAGCUGAGAUUGCUCCACUGCACUCCAGCCUGGGCGACAGAGCAAGAAUCCAUCUCAAAAAAAAAAAAAAAUAAUAAGAAGUUGUUUAUAGUGCCAUUGAUCAUAUCAGUGGGAAUAAUUAUACCAAUUAUUUUCAAAGUGUGGUCUGGGGGCCUCUGAGAACUUUUCAGGGAGUCUGCAAGGUCCAAACUAUUUUCAUAGUAGUACUAAGCUGUUACUUGCCUUCUUCACUCUCAUUCUUUCAUGAGUGUACGGUGGAAUUUUCCAGAGGCUACAUGAAGUGAGAUGAUGAUCUCAACUUCUUGGGAGGCUGAGGCAGGAGAAUCACUUGAACCCUGGAGACAGAGGUUGCAGUGAGCCAAGAUCACGCCAUUGCACUCCAGCCUGGGUGAUUGAGUGAGACUCUGUUUCAAAAAAAAAAAAAAAAAAAAAAAAAAAGUUAAAAAACUCCUUUUUUGGUCUAACACACUAAAAGUCAAGUUUUGAUAAUUUAUUUGAAGAACUAUUAGAUAAAUAUAGUAGCAGAGAACAAUGGGCUAGAAUAGAGUCCAGAAAGAGACAUAAAUAUUUAUGGAAGUUAUUUAUGGGAAUUUCAGUUUAUCAUAAAGGUGGUGUUUCUUUCUUUUCUUCUUUUUUUUGAGACCGAGUCUCGCUCUGUCGACCAGGCUAGAGUGCAGUGGCACACGAUCUCGGCUCACUGCAACCUCCGCCCUCCGCCUCCUGGAUUCACGCCAUUCUUCUGCCUCAGCCUCCCGAGUAGCUGGGACUACAGGCACCUACCACCAUGCCCGGCUAAUUUUUUUUUGUAUUUGUAGUAGAGACGGGGUUUCACUGUGUUAGCCAGGAUGGUCUCGAUCUCCUGACCUUGUGAUCUCCCCGCCUCAGCCUCCCAACGUGCUGGGAUUACAGGCAUGAACCACGGCGCCCUGUGUUUUUUUUUGAGAUGGAGUUAUGGAGUUUCAGUCUUCACCCAGGCUGGAGUGAAGUGGUGCGAUCUUGGCUUACUGCAACCUCCGUCCCCCAGGUUCAAGCAAUUCUCCUGCUUCAGCCUCCCGAAUAGCUGGGAUUAUAGGCGCCCACCACCAUGCCCGGCUAAUUUUUGUAUUUUUAGCAGAGACGGGGUUUCACCAUGUUGGCCAGGCUGGUCUCAAACUCCUGACCUCAGGUGAUCCACCCGUCUUGGCCUCCCAAAGUGCUAAGAUUACAGGCGUGAGCCACCGUGCCCCACCAAAGGUGGUGUUUCAAAUUAGCGAAGACAGUUCAAUAAAUGAUGUGGGGACUGACAACUGUUUCAGGACAGGAAUAAAAUGAUCUUGGUCUAUACUUCAGUCCUUAUACCCAAAUGAACUACAAGGGAAUUAAAACUUUAAACAUUAGGAAGAUAGAAGAAAACAUGGAAUGAGGAGGCAAGGUACUGUAUAAGCUCCAGAAACUAUAAAGGAAAUGACGGAUGAAUCUGACUAUGUAAAAAUAAAAACAAAAAAUCCUUCUACAUGGCAAAUAAAAUAAAUAGCAAAGUCAAAAUGCAACUGAUAUACCAAGAAAAACUAUUUGUGAUUUGGGGGUGAUGAAAGAUUGAUUUCUUUCAUCCAGAGCCCAUAUGCAAACCAAUCAGGAAAAGGCAAACAGACCAAAAGAAAAAUGGGCAAAGGCUACAGUCUGCUUUACAGAAAAAUAAAUGCAAAUGGACAAAGAACAUGAACCUAUACUCAACUGCAGCCAUAAUUAAAGAGAUACAAAUUAAGACAACACUGAAAAGCAUUUUUUUUUUUUUUUCUGAGACUGAGUCUUACUUUGUCGCCAAGGCUGGAGUGCAGUGGCUCGAUCUUGGCUCACUGCAACCUCUGCUGCCCGGGUUCAAGUGAUUCUCCUGCCUCAGCCUCCCAAGUAGCUGAGAUUACAGGCACCUGCCACCGUGCACGGCUAAUUUUUGUAUUUUUAGUAGAGACGGGGUUUCGCUAUCUUGGUCAGGCUGGUCUCGAACUCCUGACCUCAUGAUCCACUCGCCUCAGCCUCCUAAAGUGCUGGGAUUACAGGCGUGAGCCACUGCGCCCAGCCGAAAAGCAAUAUUGUUCAUCUGUUGGAUCUACAAGCAUAUUAAAGGGUGAUGCCUAGUGCUGGCUAAGAUGUAGGUAAACACACUAUUAUAGUAAAUUGAUAAAGUCUUGCUGGAGGACACUUGGCUGUAGCUAGUAAAAUAGAAGAAAUGUGUGAUAAUGCGUAGUAAUAGCAAAACUUAUGAAAUAACACACAACAAUAAUAUAUAUAUAUGUAUAUAUAUAUAACAAAAUAAAAAAAGAUACAUAUAUUUGACCUGGUAAUUCCACUGCUAGGAAUUCAUUCUCCAGAUAACCUGCAAAGGCUUGCCAAUAUGCACAUCCUGUGAGUGUGUUUAGAUGAGAGAGCUCUUGGCAAGGCUCAGUUGGUGGAGUCCCACUGUGACCCUCAGCUGACUAUGUUGUGUUAGUAAGACAGUGUGUAUAGAACAAUAACUAUGGUUAAGUGAAACCUCUGCUUGUUUUUCUUUUUGUUUUUUGUUUGAGAGGGAACCUCACUCUGUCACCCAGGCUGGAGGGCAGUGGUGUGAUCUUGGCUCACUGCAGCCUCUGCCUCCAGGGUUCAGGCAAUUUUCCUGCCUCAGGCUUCCUCAGGCGUAGCUGGGAUUACAGGCACGCACCACCUAGCCCCGGUUAAUUUUUGUAUUUUUUUAGUAGAGAUGUGGUUACACCAUGUUGGCUAGGCUGGUCUUAAACUCCUGACCUCGAGUGAUCUGCCUGCUUUGGCCUCCCAAAAUGCUGGGAAUACAGGCGUGAGGCACCGCACCCGACCUUCUGCUUAUUUUUCUAUAUUGAUCAUGUACCACUUUAGCUUAUGGAAUUGUGGCAAUACAAUUUCAGUUUGUACAUCUACUUUGAUUUGCUGUUUCUGCAUUCUUGUUUUAGCACUGUAUUAGAGGUAGUUUUUUCAAAAUUCAUGCCAACAUAAAUAGCUUCAUCCCCAGGAGAUGAUCAGUGCAAAAGUUUCAAUUACUCCUGUCACUUUUUUUUUUUUUUUUUGAUGGAGUCUCGCACUGUUGCCCAGGCUGGAUGCAGUGGCAUGAUCUCAGCUCACUGCAAGCUCUGCCUCCCGGGUUCAUGCCAUUCUCCUACCUCAGCCUCCCUAGUAGCUGGGACUACAGGCGCCCGCCACCAUGCCCAGCUAAUUUUUUGUAUUUGUAGUAGAGACGGGGUUUCACUGUGUUAGCCAGGAUGAUCUUGAUCUCCUGACCUCGUGAUCCGCCCGCCUCGGCCUCCCAAAGUGCUGGGAUUACAGGCGUGAGCCACCGCACCCGGCCUCUCCUGUCACUUUUAAAAAAGUUACUCCUCAUAUCUAUUGGCUGAGGAGAUGGAAGUGUUUCUGGGGAUUUGAGAUGCUAAGAUGAUGAUGUUUUAGGCCCACGGCCAUGGCACCUACUUUUGUUCUAUUCAGCCUACUGAGAGGUGACAGUGUGCUGGCAGCCCUCACAGCCCUCCCUCGCUCUCAGCGCUUCCUCUGCCUGGGCUCCCACUUUGGCGGCACUUGAGGAGCCCUUCAACCCGCUGCUGCACUGUGGGAGCCCCUUCCUGCGCUGGCUGAGGCAGGAGCUGGCUCCCUCAGCUUGCGGGGAGGUGUGGAGGAGAGGCGCGGGCAGGAACAGCAGCAGUGUGACUUCCGGGUGGGCGUGGGCUCGGUGGGCUGCACACUCAGAGCGGCCAGCUGGCUCCGCCGGCCCGGGGCAGUGAGGGGCUUAGCACCUGGGCCAGCAGCUGCUGUGCUUGACUUCUCGCCGGGCCUUAGCUGCCUCCCUGUGGGGCAGGGCUCGGGACCUGCAGCCCGCCAUGCCUGAGCCUCCCCCCGCCAUGGGCUCCUGCACUGCCGGAGCCUCCCCGACGAGCGCCGCCCCCUGCUCCAUGGCACCCAGUCCCAUCGACCACCCAAGGGCUGAGGAGUGCGAGUGCAUGGCGUGGGACUGGCAGGCAGCUCCACCUGCGGCCCCGGUGCAGGAUCCACGGGGUGAAGCCAGCUGGGCUCCUGAGUCUGGCGAGGACUUGGAGAACCUUUAUGUCUAGCUAAGGGAUUGUAAAUACACCAAUUGGCACUCUGUAUCUAGCUCAAGGUUUGUUAAACACACCAAUCAGCACCCUGUGUCUAGCUCAGGGUUUGUGAAUGCACCAAUGGACACUCUGUAUCUAGCUACUCUGGUGGGGACUUGGAGAACCUUUAUGUCUAGCUAAGGGAUUGUAAAUACACCAAUUGGCACUCUGUAUCUAGCUCAAGGUUUUUAAACACACCAAUCAGCACCCCGUGUCUAGCUCAGGGUUUGUGAAUGCACCAAUCGACACUCCGUAUCUAGCUAAUCUAGUGGGGACGUGGAGAACUUUUGAGUCUACCUCAGGGAUUAUAGAUGCACCAAUCAACACCCUGUCAAAACGGACCAAUCAGCGCUCUGUAAAACAGACCAAUCAGCUCUCAGUAAAAUGGACCAAUCAGCAGGAUGUGGGUGGGGCCAGAUAAGGGAAUAAAAGCAGGCUGCCGGACCCAGCAGUGGCAAGGCGCUUCGGUUGUCUUCCAUGAUGUGGACGCUUUGUUCUUUUGCUCUUUGCAAUAAAUCUUCCUGUUGCUUUCUUUGGGUCCACACUGCCUUUAUGAGCUGUAACACUCACCGUGAAGGUCUGAAGCUUUACUCUGGAAGCCAGUGAGACCAGGAACCCACCGGGAGGAAUGAACGACUCCAGACACACCGCCUUAAGAUCUGUGACACUCACCGCGAAGGUCUGCAGCUUCAUUCCUGAUCCAGCGAGACCAUGAACCCACCAGAAGGAAAAAACUCCGGACACAUCCGAACGUCUAGAAGAAACAAACUCCAGACACACCGCCUGUAAGAACUGUAACGGUCACCGCGAGGGUCCGCGGUUUCAUUCUUGAAGUCAGUGAGACCAAGAACCCACCAUUUCUGGACACACUACCAUGCCAGAGAUCCAGGGGCUGCAGCAUGCUGAAAGAAAACAGAAGCCUGUGGAGUGAGCCAAGAUCAACCAGGAAAUAAACCCUUUCCCUUGCGAUGUCUCUCCAGCGCCCUCUACUGACAAACCUGCUUUAGUGCCAGUUUGUAGAGAUUAGUUGUCCAGUUCAGACAAACCAGAUCCCCUGUCAGAUUCCUCCAUAGAACUUCUUUACAAAACCACUUCUUGGCAUCAUAAUUGGUGGCAUUUUCCCCUUCGGCUGUAUUUUUAUUCAACUCUUUUUCAUUCUGAACAGUAUUUGAGACAGUUGGAUUUUUUUCCUGUUUCUGGUUAAUUGCUAAAAUCUACAGUGUGCUGAAGGUGGAGUAAAGUAUUUCCCCAAAGGAUUCCAAGCACAUCUCCCUUGCCCUUGAAUAUCUGUAUAUCUAUAUGAACAUCAAUUGAGAUAUAUAUGUGUGUGCCCCUAAUUACAUAAUUUUAAGCAUAUAUAUAAAAAUGUAAAAUCUCAUUGUCUGGCCUCAGUUUGUAUGACACAAAAUACUGAUUGUAUGGAAGAAAACAGAUUGGGAAACAGAUUUAUUCUAUAUCAUAUUUUCCUGAAAAGCUACCUUAAAAAGAUUUAAAUUAAAGCAAUUAGAGCAAGGGAGGCACAUUUCUUUAAAAAAUUAAAGUUGAGUACCAUACUGGUUUUUCAGAUGAAAUUUUCUUUUCCUUUUUCUCCUUCAUAUUGCUCAGAGCAUCUAAUUCCAUCAGAACUAUUGUCAAAUAAAUUUUAUGUAAAAUGUGUAUUUUUCUAAUGGGAGUUGAUUAUACAAACUGUAUUACACCUUUGUAUCUGAGUGAUCAUUUAAAAAUGCAUAUUGGUUUAGCACAUAGAGUUUAUGAAAUGCCAGAUAAUGCUCUUAUUCCUCAGUGAAAUCUGCACAUUUCUAGUUGUUGGUGGUCUAUUUCUGUUUGCUGUUCCUUGGAGGGGGGCUGAGAAUGUUCAAGUUUGACUUAGCUGUGUUUAAGUAAUAAAUCUUUGGAGUCA